AGCGGCACCUCCAGAGAGACACACCUCUGUGCCGCGGUUCCACUUCUGGGCUGGCGACUUACAGAAAUGCUUCCAACAACAUGGUCUUCUUCUAUAGUCCUGGCUAUGCUGGAGCUGGCUAUGCAGAGCAAGCCGUCUCCUAAGUGCUGGAGUUGAAGAAAUGGACACCAUUUUAUUUCUGGGCCGAUGAUCACAUAAAUGCCAUUCUGAAGACGUUCUGAAGGCUAAUUAAUGAAUGGGAGAAGAUUGGAGAAUAUUUCUUAAAUUAGUGCUAUGAUUUCAAUAUUUUUGUCCUGGAGAGUUGGAGAAGUGGAGAAUACAGCAUGUUUUUAAGGCCGAGUUAAUGGAUGCAAACUCUUGGCCGAGGGACUUAUAAAUGCAUGACCUCUGGUGAGGAAACCUAAGUCUUGUUUCCAGAUGGUUUGCAAAAGGGAUGAAAGUGGCUGGAGAUUGUGAAGAUUAGUUAAGAUGCCCACGGGGAGUUUGUCACUUAGAAGAUGCCUUCUUGGUCCUCAUUGGUCCUGCUCAUCAUCACAAUGCCAACACUCGACUCAUUAGGGGAGAAGGUCUUCCCCACAGUCACCUAGCUCAUUCCACAGUGGCCAUGGGUCCAUGGGGCAGAGUUGACACAGAAGGCAACUUAUUGCUGGUAACAGAAACUGAAGACAGAUCAUUUUACUCCCAUAAUUGAGAUGAAAUCUGGCAUAUUGACAAGGACAGUGUGCCUCCACCAUCCGUUUAAAAGUAUCCAGAUGAAAAAUUCAGACAUAAAACACAAGCACUCCUCGAUGGUCUCGGUAGCCAUGGAGACGUAGAGGUGAUAUAAAAAUGAUGAAAGUGGCAGUUGGGCUGAAAUGUGGGCUGAAGCAGACCUGUUAAACUGGAUCCAUAGUUGAGGGA